rnacentral:rRNA from 1 species
UACGAAGGGGGGCUAGCGUUGUUCGGAAUUACUGGGCGUAAAGCGCACGUAGGCGGAUAUUUAAGUCAGGGGUGAAAUCCCAGAGCUCAACUCUGGAACUGCCUUUGAUACUGGGUAUCUUGAGUAUGGAAGAGGUAAGUGGAAUUGCGAGUGUAGAGGUGAAAUUCGUAGAUAUUCGCAGGAACACCAGUGGCGAAGGCGGCUUACUGGUCCUAACUGACGCUUGAGGUGCGGAAAAGCGUGGGGAGCAAACAGGG